rnacentral:snRNA from 1 species
GUGCUUGCUUCAGCAGCACAUAUACUAAAACUGUAAUGACGGAAGAUUAGCAUGACCCCUGUGUAAGGAUGACAAAUUCAUGAAGUAUUCCAUAUUUAA